AUGGAUACCCUCAAUAAACAGUAUGGCCAGCCACAUCAGUUAGUGCUGCAGCGCAUAGUGGAAUUGAUGGAUGGACCCAGCAUCAGCACUGGAGAUAUUAAAACUUUUCGAAUGUAUGCUCUGAGGGUGAGAUCUUUGGUGGGCAUGCUGAGACAGCUAGGUAAGCCUGGCAUGGUGGAAUUAAGAUGUGGCUCGCAUGUGUCCAGACUUCUGAGUAAGUUGCCACAUGAUCUGCGUAGCAGUUUCGGAAGAUUUAUUUAUCCAUUAGACGUGAAGAUUCCUACCCACCUUAACUUAGCAGACUGGUUAGAAUAUGAAAUCCAAGUGCAAGAAGAUUCCACAAGGUAUGUAAGCCGUUCGGGCAGAGGAUACUCAACCAGUUUGUCCAGGGAUAUGUCAAGGAGGGUGAAAUCAUUCAACAAAGGGACAGAAGUUCUGCUUGGCACAGAGAAAUUCCCUUCAUCACCACCACAUUCCUCAGCUGUUACUGCUAAGAUCACAAAGGGGAAAGCUUACUGCCCUUAUUGUGAUAACAAUAAACACACUUUGAAUAACUGUGUAAAUUUCUCUCAACUUUCCAAAUCUCAGAGGCAGAAUUGGAUCAAGGGGCACAACCGAUGCUGGCUCUGUGGAUGGGGCCAUAGAUCAUCAGAGUGUAACCUUAAAAUGCUCUGCAAACCAUGCAAUGGUCGUCACUUGCUUGUUCUUCAUGAUGUUAAUGCAUGGAACAAGGAGAAAGUAGUGGAAGGAGAAGAUCCAUGUACUAGCCCUGUCUUGGGGGAGGCUGCAAACAAGGUGUUAUUCAUUGACAAGCCCCCAGGAAGUCGUAAGGUACUGUUAAAGAUAUGUAAAGUCAUUCUAAGAAAUGGAGAUCGAUCGAUGAAUGCUUAUGCCAUUCUGGAUGAUGGCUCCGAAAGAACCAUCUUGUUAAAUACUGCAGCAACCCAGCUGAAACUGAAAGGUAAGCCAGAGGACUUGCCCCUGCGCACCGUCAGACAAGAAUUAAAGGUCAUGCAUGGGAUGGCUGUUUCCUUUAACCUUUCACCAGCCUGCCAGCCAAACAAGAUAUAUCAGAUCAAUGGAGCAUUCACUGCAGCAGAGUUGGGGCUUGGAGUGCACUGUUAUCCCGUCAAGGCUUUACGGAAAAGGUACCGUCAUCUUAAAGGACUUCUCCUCCAAGAAAUUGAAGCUGCUCAUCCAGUUUUGCUCAUAGGAUCUGACUGCCCUCAUUUAAUUACCCCAGUUGAGCCAGUUCGGUUGGGUCCACCAGGGGAGAACUCUCCUUGGAUGGACUAUGCAAGGACCAGUUCAAGCAUUGCAACAUCUUCUUACAGAGCAACAGUGUCUGUUCACAACAAGUUGGUCGGUCACCCUCUGCUAUGUUGCAUGAACAAGUUGAAAGACUCUGGCAACUGGAUGUCCUUCCUUGGAGAGAUGAGAAAAUGA
ensembl:lncRNA